AACCUUGCGCAGUGGCAAUAUCGUAACCAAUGAAGGUCUCCUGAGGUGCGAUUAUUGCUAGUUGAAAACUUUUACCAAUACCCCGCCAUAAUACCGUGAAAUACCGGUGUUAUAGGCAAUUUUUGAAAGCUCCUGCGGGAG
rnacentral:snRNA from 1 species